CCCAAAAGCAGCCCUGAAAAUAGCACUAAAAUAGCGUAAAAUGGAUGCAAAAGUAGCACUGAAAAUAACACCAAAAUGGCGCAAAAUGGACCCAAAAGCAGCCGUGGAAACAGCACUAAAAUAGUGCGAAAUGGACCCAAAAGCAGAGUGAAAAUAGCACCAAAAUGGCGGAAAAUGGACCCAAAAGCAGCACUGAAAAUAACACCAAAACAGCACGAAAUGGACCCAAAAGCAGCACUGAAAAUAGCACCAAAAUAGCGCAAAAUGGACCCAAAAAGCAGCGUGAAAAUAGCACUAAAAUAGCGCGAAAUGGACCCAAAGGCGGACCUGAAAAUAACACCAAAAUAGCGCGAAAUGGACCCAAAAUCAGCACUGAAAAUAACACCAAAAUGGCACGAAAUGGACCCAAAAGCAGCACUGAAAAUAGCACUAAAAUAGCGCAAAAUGGACCCAAAAAGCAGUGUGAAAAUAGCACUAAAAUAGCGUGAAAUGGACCCAAAGGCGGACGUGAAAAUAGCACUAAAAUAGCGCAAAAUGGACCCAAAAGCAGCCGUGAAAACAGCACUAAAAUAGCGCAAAAUGGACCCAAAAAGCAGUGUGAAAAUAGCACUAAAAUAGCGCGAAAUGGACCCAAAAAGCAGCGUGAAAAUAGCACUAAAAUAGCGCGAAAUGGACCCAAAAGCAGCACUGAAAAUAACACUAAAAUAGCGCAAAAUGGACCCAAAAAGCAGCGUGAAAAUAGCACUAAAAUAGCAUGAAAUGGACCCAAAAGCAGCGUGAAAAUAGCACUAAAAUAGUGCAAAAUGAACCCAAAAGCGGCGCUAAAUGAGCCUCCAAAGCAGCGUGAAACCAGCACCAAAAUGGCGUGAAAUGAACCCAAAAGCAGCGCAAAAUAAGCACAGAAUAGCCCCAAAAGCGGCGUGAAAAUAGUACAAAACCAGCACGAAAUGGACCCAAAAGCAGCGUGAAAAUAGCACCAAAAUAGCGCAAAAUGGACCCAAAAGCAGCGCAAAGUAAGCACAGAAUAGCCCCAAAACCAGCGCUGAAAAUAGCACAAAAAUGGGUCAAAAUAGCACUAAAACCAGCAGAAAACGGACCUGAAAUAGCGCAAAAUAGCCCCAAAAGCAGCGCUAAAAGUCGCAGAA